CGGAUCUCUUGGCUCUCGCAUCGAUGAAGAACGCAGCGAAAUGCGAUAAGUAAUGUGAAUUGCAGAAUUCAGUGAAUCAUCGAAUCUUUGAACGCACCUUGCGCUCCUUGGUAUUCCGAGGAGCAUGCCUGUUUGAGUGUCAUUAAAUUCUCAACCUAA
rnacentral:rRNA from 2 species